UGAUCCCAUUUUGAGUGGUAUCAAUCGUGCCCUUUGUUUUAAUGGCCGCCAAAUUGUUGUUAAAACGCUCUGGGGAGAAAUCAGGAUAGAUGGAGAUAGAAUCGACAUCAUAAUCGAUGAAUUUUUGCCGCUCCGGUGCCUUGAAAUCCUUACAUAGGUAGUGGUCUCUCAUUCUAAUCUUCAGGUCACUGAAAUGUUGUUCGUAAGCAGGCUAUCCAUCCAUGAUGUGAUAGCUUAGCCCAGAGGCUACCACGCCAAACAUGUCCACUGAUGAUGCUCUGCAUGACAAUACCUGAACGCGACAAAUGGCGCAAGUGUCGCACUCCACGUCCCACGACCACAUGGCCACACAGUGCCAUUUCUUCAAGGUGAAUAACCGCUCCGGGGUGGUCGCCACCGCCGACGAGGGCGAUGAGGAUGAAACGGACAUUUCGGUCCCCGACCCGUGAGCCGCAUCCGGAGUCACCUCCAUGCUAGAUGAUACGCAUCCAAGCAAGCACCCAUGAAGGAUGGGCGGACGUCAAAGGUGGAACACGGGUGGAGCAAGGCAAGAGGACGACGAGGAGGACGAGGAGGAGGAUGCACAAGAGGAUGCUUGACCGAUUGACAAUAUCAAGAUUUCAGCUGAUUGACAAACAGGGUGACCCCAAAGCUUUAUGAAAAAAAGCCCAGAUAACCCUGCCUGGGGAGUUCUUUGUUUGGAGCCAAAAGAGGCCAUUUUCUAGGUUAAUCAGUCAAGCCUUACUAUGAGACAUUGGAUCCAAGAGAUCUUUUCUCAAACCAGAAUACCUACCAAUGCCAUCUGGCCAAAACCAGGCCAAUAAUUCAAAAUGGGCUUUUUGAAUUAAAAGAGACCAGUCGCUCUAUUGAAAACAGGUAAAGAAAAGGAUUUAUAAACAGGGCUGUCCACCCAGAUUUAGUGACCCUGACCGAGUCCGAACUUGAGAUAUUUCUCGACGCAUCAACGUGAGCGACCUUGAAGGGCCAGGAAGUCUUUCAAUUACUGACAUCAUGACACAUUCAAUGGAUUAUUAUGACACAAA